UACGGAGGGGGCUAGCGUUGUUCGGAAUUACUGGGCGUAAAGCGCGUGUAGGCGGCUCGAUUAGUCCGCUCUGAAAGCCCGGGGCUCAACUCCGGAACUGCCUUUAAGACUGCAUCGCUUGAAUCCGGGAGAGGUGAGUGGAAUUCCGAGUGUAGAGGUGAAAUUCGUAGAUAUUCGGAAGAACACCAGUGGCGAAGGCGGCUCACUGGACCGGUAUUGACGCUGAGGUGCGAAAGCGUGGGGAGCAAACAGG
rnacentral:rRNA from 1 species